UCAAGCCUCCGCAUUUCUCCUCCUCUGCCCUUCCUGUCUCUGACAGGGAGUGGUCCCAGAGACCCCUUAAAGAUGGGGGUUGGGUCCCGCAUGGACCAAGAGCAAGCUGCUCUCACCGCAGUCACACCUUCCCCAACCAGUGCUUCAAAGAGAUGGCCAGGAGCUUCCAUAUGGCCAUCCUGGGACCUCCUUGAAGCUCCCAAGGAUCCCUUCAGCAUAGAGAGAGAGGCCAGGCUGCACCGGCAAGCUGCAGCUGUGAACGAAGCCACCUGUACCUGGAGUGGCCAGCUUCCUCCCCGGAACUAUAAGAAUCCCAUCUACUCUUGCAAGGUGUUCUUAGGAGGUGUUCCUUGGGAUAUUACGGAAGCUGGAUUAGUUAACACCUUCCGUGUUUUUGGUUCUCUGAGUGUGGAGUGGCCUGGUAAGGAUGGCAAGCACCCCCGGUGUCCUCCCAAAGGUAAUAUGCCUAAAGGGUAUGUAUAUCUGGUCUUUGAACUCGAGAAGUCUGUCCGGGCCUUGCUUCAGGCUUGCUCUCACGACCCACUGAGCCCAGAUGGUUUGAGUGAAUAUUAUUUCAAGAUGUCCAGCCGAAGGAUGCGCUGCAAGGAGGUGAGUCAGAAUGAUGGCUCUCUGGGUCCAAGUGAUUUGCAUAUUGAGGCACUGGAUUUCCUGGUGGGAGUAGACAUGAAGGCUACAACCAAAAGGUAUUUUUGCUCUGAGGCAAGAAGUCUUCUCCUCUCGUCCCACAAUAAAUACGAGAGUACUUCUCUAUUGCAUAAAAAAUCCCAACCUUUGAGUCUUACUAGGAUGGUUACCAGGUGUGUGUGUAUACACACACACUUCUGUGCGUGAAAAUCAGACUGUCUCCCAGCCCUUCUUUUUCUAGCCUAUGGUUCUGUUUCAAAACUCUUAUCUUCAAGAUGAAAUUUAGAGCAGCAGUUUUCUCUACUUGGACUUAACUGAUAAAAUCAGCUCUUUCUCUCUAGUCCUGAUCUCAGACUGUCUCCCCUCCCCAAAUGAUGGGUAACUUCUCCUUUGCUCACACCCACUUAUGAGUUGCUUCUUCACUCCCAGUUAGGGCUUGAUUAGUUACAUACUUCUCUCUACGUGCCUCAGACUCCUGCCCCCCCGCUUUGUAUCAGCUUAGUUUGUCCUUGGCGUCAUGGAGUUACCUCAUUUACUUGACUCUGGCUUACUGAAUCUGGGUAGAGUUUGGGAAUCUCCACUUUAACUGGGCUCCCCAGGUAGUUCUAGUGGAGAGAGUUUGAGAACCAUUUGUUUUGAAUUCAGCAUGGUGUUUUUUAAAAAUCUGAUUACAGAAUACAUCAUUUUGACACAUUGGACUAGAUAUGUAAUAUCUCUGAAAUCUUCCUAGUAUCUCUGGAACAUUCACUUCCUAGCUUAUAAAAUGAGAAACUAAAAUUCCUUGUUUAUUAAAAUUAUCAGUGGCUUCCAGAAGUUCAGCAGUUGGUGAACUUGGUAGUUUUGAUCUCCACAAAAGCAGCACUGACUGCUUUCAGGUAACUACUUCGAUUAUUGAAAGUAACUCGGCCAGAUCCAAUGGGAUACUUGUGCUUAUCUGUGUCAAUCCCAGCGAAAGUCACAACACCAAAUAGGUCGUUCAGGAUAGCAGCCAGGGCCUCGGCAUUAAGCAUCCCGUGCAGGGCACAAACAAACACUGUCCUACUGGGAUCCAGCCUUUAAGAUGGACUCUGGACAAAGUUGCUGUCAGCCAAGAUCCAGGGGAUCACCUGCACCUCCUUGAAGUGCAUCCUUCGGCUGGACAUCUCGAAAUAAUAUUCACUCAAACCAUCUGGGCUCAGUGGGUCGUGGAGCAAGCCUGAAGCAAGGCCCGGACAGACUUCUCGAGUUCAAAGACCAGUUAUACAUACCCUUUGGGAGGACACCAGGCGUGUUUGCCAUCCUUACCAGGCCACUCCACACUCAGAGAACCAAAAACACAGAAGGUGCUAACUAAUCCAGCUUCCAUACUAUCCCAAGGAACACCUCCUAAGAGCACCUUGCAAGAGUAGACGGGAUUCUUAUAGUUCCAGGGAAGAAGCUGGCCACUCCAGGUACAGGUGGCUUCGUUCACAGCUGCAGCUUGCAGGUGCAGCCUGUUCUCUCUCUCUAUGCUGAAGGGAUCCUUGGGAGCUUCAAGGAGGCCCCAGGAUGGCCAUAUGGAAGUUCCUGGCCAUCUCUUUGAAACACUGGUUGGGGAAGGUGUAACUGCGGUGAUAGCAGUUUGCUCUUGGUCCAUGCGAGACCCAACCCCCAUCUUUAAGGGGUCUCUGGGACUACUCCCUGUCAGAGACAGGAAGGGCUGAGGAAGAGAAAUGCAGAGGCUUGCAAUCAAAUCUGAGAGAUCAUCUGAUCCAGAACUGAAGCUGCUUGUGUCUGAGUCAGAGGGGCUGCUAGAACGGGAAUCCAGGAUGGGCUGGAUGUCCAAGCGGGAUCCUCUGACUGAGGGUGCUGGAAACUUGUCCAAGUCAGACCCAAGGAGAUCCAGAGGCAGAAAGCUCAAGAGGGGUUUUCCUAGAACAUUUUCCAGUGAGUUAUGGAGCAUACUCAGUACUGAAUUGUGUGCUGCUCUGGGAUGAGGCUUCUGAGUCCUGGGUGCUCCAGGGUGGGUCCCAGCCUGUUAGACUGAGGGACUGCAGGACAAGGCACAAGUCGUUUGCAUCUGGGAGGCCACGGGAAGAUUCUUGCGCAGAGGUGGGGAAAACCAUCUUGCUUGUAACUGUUUCUUCAGAGUCCUGGAAGUCUGGUAAAUGAUCAUGCAUUCCUCGAUUUACUGGUGUAGUGCAGACUCUACUGAAAUCCAAAGAAUUGUCCAAUAUGGCAUUUAUCCUUCAAAAGAUACUGGCAUCGCUACAUGUGGAGAGUGCAGGCACUUCCUGAUUGUCUCAGCAAUCUUUCAUCUUUCCUCUUUCUUCUUCUGGUGGGAACAUGGCCAUGGGGCCUGGGCCCUCGCGCUGACAGACUGACGGACGGGCCAGCUGGCUCAGGCCAAUAACCUCAUUUUUGGAUCAAAGAAUGCACAAAAAAUGUUUUCAAUGGCAGA
rnacentral:lncRNA from 1 species